AUGAAGAGUUUGAUCCUGGCUCAGAGCGAACGCUGGCGGCACGCCUAACACAUGCAAGUCGAGCGAGAAAGUGACUUCGGUCGCGAGUAAAGCGGCGAACGGGUGAGUACAACGUGGAUAAUCUACCCUAGGGUCUGGGACAACCCCGAGAAAUCGGGGCUAAUACCGGAUAAGACCACAGUAUCCAAGGAUACAGCGGUAAAAGAUUUAUCGCCUUUGGAUGAGUCCACGCCCCAUCAGGUAGUUGGUAAGGUAAAGGCUUACCAAGCCUAAGACGGGUAGCCGGCCUUAGCGGGUGAACGGCCACAUGGGGACUGAGACACGGCCCUGACUCCUACGGGAGGCAGCAGUGGGGAAUAUUGGGCAAUGGGCGAAAGCCUGACCCAGCGAUGCCGCGUGAGGGAUGAAGGCCUUCGGGUUGUAAACCUCUGUCAGGAGGGACGAUGGGACACUUGUGUCUUGACGGUACCUCCAGAGGAAGCCCCGGCUAACUCCGUGCCAGCAGCCGCGGUAAUACGGAGGGGGCAA
rnacentral:rRNA from 1 species